rnacentral:misc_RNA from 1 species
UAAGGCACAGAUAAAAUACAAAACACAAAUGCAUGUGCAUUCAUACAGAAAAGAACUUGGGGAUACUUAUAAAUAAAGAUGAGGCAGUACUACGUAACAGUCCUCUGAAAUGGAAUAGACAUAUUUCCAUCAUAAGAUUUUUCACAGCACCAAGAAAUGCAUUGGGUGACUUCAAGACAUGCAUUUGUUACACAACAGAUCUUAGAGAAAUGCACUUCGAAUUGUCUUAGCAACAUCCAUACACCUGCAACAAUCUGUAAUUAUCACAUAUCCCCAGCUGGAGUGUUACAUUUUGGUAAUUAGGGCCAAAAGAAUCAUAUCUAUUUCUUUCAUAAUUGACAGAAACUUUCUUCAUAAUGCCUCAUCAUAUCCGAAGGUAGGAAUUUACGUAUAUAAUCUGCUCAGUCUUUUCUCUUCAGAUGGAAGUUCUAAAGCAAACUGAAAAAGGAUUCUGUACCUAUGAAAAUCAAGGAGAAGAACAAUUUGACAAGGGGAAAAAUUCCUAUGAACUAUACUAUAACAUAUUCUCAACGAAAAAGAAACAGUCACUGCAAACAUUAAUGCUCUUACAAAUGGGAGCUAUCAAGUUACCUGUAAGGUAUGUGUUGGUGAGUUGAAGUGUCUCGGUACUUCUUGGCCAGACCAAAGUCUAUUAUGUAGACCUGAUUUGCACGCCUUCCCAAGCCCAUAAGAAAAUUGUCUGGUUUAAUAUCUCGAUGCAAGAAUGAUUUAGAAUGAACAAACUCAAUGCGAUUUAUCAUUUGAUCUGCAAGCAUCAGAACUGUCUUCAGGGAAAGUUUCCUACUGCAAAAAUUAAAUAAAUCUUCUAGACUGGGUCCAAGCAAAUCCAUGACUAGAACAUUGUAAUCUCCUUCAACACCGUACCACCUCACAUUUGGUAUUCCAGUUCCUCCCUGCAAAAUUCUAUACAACUUUGACUCAUAUAGCAACUGAGGAUGCUUUGUUUUGACAUUUUCCAGCUUAAUUGCUACCUCCUCAUUAGUCUGUAUAUUAGUACCGAGAUA